rnacentral:rRNA from 1 species
GAUGAACGCUGGCGGCGUGCUUAACACAUGCAAGUCGAACGAACCUUCGGGUUAGUGGCGGACGGGUGAGUAACGCGUGAGAAUCUGCCCUCAGGAGGGGGAUAACGGUUGGAAACGACCGCUAAUGCCCCAUAUGCCUAUUGGUGAAAUGAAUUUCGCCUGAGGAUGAGCUCGCGUCUGAUUAGCUAGUUGGUGAGGUAAUGGCUCACCAAGGCUUCGAUCAGUAGCUGGUCUGAGAGGAUGAUCAGCCACACUGGGACUGCGACGCGGCCCAGACUCCUACGGGAGGCAGCAGUGGGGAAUUUUCCGCAAUGGGCGAAAGCCUGACGGAGCAACGCCGCGUGAGGGACGAAGGCCUCUGGGCUGUAAACCUCUUUUCUCAAGGAAGAAGAUAUGACGGUACUUGAGGAAUAAGCCACGGCUAAUUCCGUGCCAGCAGCCGCGGUAAUACGGGAGUGGCAAGCGUUAUCCGGAAUUAUUGGGCGUAAAGCGUCCGCAGGCGGCUUUUCAAGUCUGCUGUUAAAGCGUGGAGCUUAACUCCAUCAUGGCAGUGGAAACUGAAAGGCUUGAGUAUGGUAGGGGCAGAGGGAAUUCCCGGUGUAGCGGUGAAAUGCGUAGAUAUCGGGAAGAACACCAGUGGCGAAGGCGCUCUGCUGGACCAUUACUGACGCUCAUGGACGAAAGCCAGGGGAGCGAAAGGGAUUAGAUACCCCUGUAGUCCUGGCCGUAAACGAUGAACACUAGGUGUCGGGGGAAUCGACCCCUUCGGUGUCGUAGCUAACGCGUUAAGUGUUCCGCCUGGGGAGUACGCACGCAAGUGUGAAACUCAAAGGAAUUGACGG